CUGAGGGUGCAGCUCAGUGGUAGAGCAUUUGCCUACCAUGCACAAGGCCCUGGAUUCAAUCCCCAGCUCUGAAA
rnacentral:tRNA from 1 species